rnacentral:rRNA from 1 species
GACGAACGCUGGCGGCGUGCUUAACACUUGCAAGUCGAACGGAAAGGCCCUGCUUUUGUGGGGUGCUCGAGUGGCGAACGGGUGAGUAACACGUGAGUAACCUGCCCUUGACUUUGGGAUAACUUCAGGAAACUGGGGCUAAUACCGGAUAGGAGCUCCUGCUGCAUGGUGGGGGUUGGAAAGUUUCGGCGGUUGGGGAUGGACUCGCGGCUUAUCAGCUUGUUGGUGGGGUAGUGGCUUACCAAGGCUUUGACGGGUAGCCGGCCUGAGAGGGUGACCGGCCACAUUGGGACUGAGAUACGGCCCAGACUCCUACGGGAGGCAGCAGUGGGGAAUAUUGCACAAUGGGCGGAAGCCUGAUGCAGCAACGCCGCGUGCGGGAUGACGGCCUUCGGGUUGUAAACCGCUUUCGCCUGUGACGAAGCGUGAGUGACGGUAAUGGGUAAAGAAGCACCGGCUAACUACGU